UGUGACCUCAAAUCAGGUAGGACUACCCGCUGAACUUAAGCAUAUCAAUAAGCGGAGGAAAAGAAACUAACAAGGAUUCCCCUAGUAACUGCGAGUGAAGCGGG
rnacentral:rRNA from 1 species